rfam:Hanseniaspora opuntiae strain AWRI3578 Hanseniaspora_opuntiae_AWRI3578_scaffold228, whole genome shotgun sequence.
GUAAUAAUAAUAUAGUGGUCAUUAUAUAUCAUUUAGGUUGAUAUUACCUAGGUUCAAUUCCUAGUUAUUACA